UUAUGUUACUGACGUGGCAGGUACGUGGUUUACCAAAAUUUGGGGCAAAUACUGCGCGACGGAGAUGAGAAAUCGGCUGUGGAGUCCCCAAGGUACAUGGUUUUCCACAAUUUGGGACAAAUAUUGCGCGAGGGAGAAGAGAAAUCGGCUGUGCAGUCCAAGAGGUAUUUGUCGUUCAAUAACGAAAGAUAUUACAAUGCGUUUAUAAAUAAUAAGCAGAAACUUGUGUAUUAUAAUAUGUUUUACAAACAACUGUCUGAAAUUUGCGACAUAUAAGAUACAUAGAAUAGAGAUUCUUGUAGCAUAAUCCUGAAAAACAGGAAACUUUUG